UACGUAGGUGGCAAGCGUUGUCCGGAUUUACUGGGCGUAAAGCGUAUGUAGGCGGAUGUUUAAGUAGGAAGUGAAAGGUUGGAGCUCAACUCCGACACUGCUCCCUAUACUGGGCAUCUUGAGGGCCGGAGAGGAAAGCGGAACGACACGUGUAGCGGUGAAAUGCGUAGAGAUCGGGAGGAACAUCAGUGGCGAAGGCGGCCUUCUGGACCAGUACUGACGCUGAGGC
rnacentral:rRNA from 1 species